UCGGUCGCGGUGCAUGCGCGGUGGCGCUAGUUCGGCAGCGGACAAACAUGGCGGGCCCAACGUUGACUGCGAGAUUGUACUCCCUGCUGUUCCGCAGGACCUCUACCUUUGCCCUCACCAUAGCCGUGGGCGCCCUGUUCUUCGAGCGCGCCUUCGAUCAAGGCGCGGACGCGAUCUACGAACACAUCAACGAAGGGACUGAAAGCCAAGGGCAGGCUCCAGCCGGCAUCAAGGACAAGGCAAUGAUGGAAUGCAGAGAGCGUCGGCUGGGAGCUCUUCCAUUGACAGUCUGUGAGUACAACGGUGCUGACCGCCUUCCUGCUGCUCCUGGCUUAUCCUGCCUUCAGGACUCCUGCAUGGAAACUUCCUCGACUGCUCUGGACACUUCCUCUCCACUGAACCCUCAGAAGGCUGCCAGGUCAACUCCCCUGCUCAAACGCCUUUAAUAGCUCCCCACUACCUAUAAGAUCAAGUUCAAAUUCCUCAGCCUGACAUUUAAGAUCCAGGCUACUUCAAACCUCACUUAAUACACCUUCCAAAUAGGGCCCUUUGCUCUCUCAUCUUGUGCUUAAACAUGGAUUAUGGGGAUUCCCUGGUGGUCUAGUCCUAACCAGGACUUUGCGCUUUCACUGCCGAGGGCACGGGUUCAAUCCCUGGUCGGGGAACCAAGAUCCCGCGAGCUGCGCGGUAUGACCACCACCACCAACAACAAAAACACAUGGAUUAUGGAAACAGAACAUGCCCGAGUUUGAACUCCAGCUCUGCGCCUCUACAGCCAGGCGACUUUGGGUCAUCCUGAGCCCAGAGGCCUCUGGGAAGACUGCCCUGGACGAGUCAGGGCAGCUGUGCUGAGGGGGUGAGACGUGGGGUGCCCAGAAAGCUGGCUGGAGCAUUGGUGGGAGGCACCCGCCACCCCUCACCUGGCUCCCUGUGAGCAAGGCCCUGCGAGUUCACUGGCCACCUCACAGCAGGCCACGACUGUACACGCCUUAUCCCAGCCAUCCUGCCAGCAUCUCCAAUUUACAGACAAGACAACUGUGGCUCAGAGAGGUGAGGCCACCUUGCUCAGAGUCACACAGACAGACAGUGGCUGAGACCAGCUGGCUUCUGACCCCAGAGCCUGGCCCCUGCUCUGAAUGGCAAAAGCGAAAUAGACCACUGGCCAUUCAGAAGCCCCAGAUCCCCAAGGAAAAGUUCUGGCCUGGCCAUUGCAUGUUACUCUGAGUUACGACUCUCGGGGAGGAACCAAUGCCUUUUUGUGCAGACCCCUCCUGAGCGGGGGAGUCUGGUUUUCCAGGUGUAACAAGCCACAUGCAUCCCCUUUAGCAGGUCACCGAGCUUGUCCUCAGCUGUUGCUCCUCUCCUGUAACAGGCUGACUGGACCUGGGGGCGGGGCUCUGCCCAUCGUCAUGUGGACCUGGUGAGCCUGUCACAGGAACAGACGGCAGCCUCACCUGCCACUAAUCAAACUCCCAUCCGAAGGGGUCUCAGCUCGACUGUUCCCGAGGCUCCCUAGAGGCAGGGGCCUGUGGGGAAGGCUGUUUCAUGACAGAACUUGCCCACGGAGGUAAAAGCCAUCCCCGAUUCUGUCCUCCUGGUGGGAGCUGUCAGGAAAAAUACAGAUAGAGGCAGCUCUAAAGCUGUUCGUGGCCCUGGGACCCCAGAAUCCCACGUUUAGAAAUGUGCCCCCCCUGGAAAUAACAGGUGAUUUGUGCAAAGAGGUUUGCGGCAGGGUGAUUAAAAGAGAGCAGAGUAAUGCAGGGCUGGACAAAUGCAGAGUGGACAGGGCUGCCCACCAGUUUUCUUCUCUCCCAACUGAACAAGUUCACGGCUCUCAGAGUGUCCCCCAGUUGUGACCUCAUCUGACCCUCACAGUUACUGGUCCCCACGAGGCAAGAGGGCUUAGAGAAUGAUCAUCCCUGUUUCGCACAAGAAGAAAUCAAGGCCCAGAGAGUCCGAGUGACUGACAUAAGGUCACACAGCUUAUUGAAAGUCUAGAACCUGGGCCCCAGCCUCCUGACCCUCCAUCCAGUGCUUUUUUUCACCACCCCUGGCCACCUUUAGGAGCAAAUUAAAAAUAAAAAGGAUGGGGGCUUCCCUGGUGGCACAGUGGUUGAGAAUCUGCCUGCCAAUGCAGGGGACACAGGUUCGAGCCCUGGUUGGGGAAGAUCCCACAUGCCGCGGAGCAACUGGGCCCGUGAGCCAAAAAUAAAUUAAUUAAAAAAAAAUAAAAAUAAAAAAAUAAAAAGGAUGGACACGUGAGGCCUGGGAACGUGCAUGUGAAAGAACGCUAAGUAGAUCAGACCAUGAGAUGGGAGACAGGGUGGGUGCCUGCGUGUAAUCUCUGUAAAUAAAAUUCCUAAGUGUA